CAGGUGAGGUAUUUAUUCUGAUCAGGUGAGGUAUUUAUUCUGAUCAGGUGAGGUAUUUAUACUGAUCAGGUGAGGUAUUUAAUCUGUGAUCAGGUGAGGUAUUUAAUCUGUGAUCAGGUGAGGUAUUUAUUCUGUGAUCAGGUGAGGUAUUUAAUCUGAUCAGGUGAGGUAUUUAUUCUGAUCAGGUGAGGCCAUUUUGUUGUCAUAGAAAGCAACAGCAGAUGGCGCUAACUGACUGACCGAGGCUGACAGUUAUCUAAAAAAUUAAAGUCUAUUUAGCUAACGUUACAUAAAGGAGUUCACUAUUUUGCUAUCCCGACUGUCAGAAAAAACGAAGGGAAAGCUACCAAGGAGUCACUGUAGGAGAGAGCUAUGGCUGCUCAGAAUUAACAGACUGACCUUCCAGCCCACUCCUCACAGCAAAGUCUGUUCUGACCAUUUCGCGACAGAUAAACAGGAACGUAAAUUACCUUAAGGUUUCAAAUGUUUGUUAGGUUGU
ensembl:lncRNA